rfam:Caloramator mitchellensis strain VF08 ABG79_contig000012, whole genome shotgun sequence.
UCCACCGUGAGUUGGAAUCUUAAGGAAGUCGGCGGCAAAGCUCCGGUCUGACGAACAGAAACUACAUAUGUUAAUAGUGGCAUAAAAAAAACCUCC